rnacentral:ncRNA from 2 species
UCAUGAAUACACGGGAGUCCUGGGGUUCGCGGGGCUGAGAGUGGACGCGUUACGUCCUUACCGUCAACACCUGAACCGGAUCAUGCCGGCGCAGGGAGUGAGGUGGUGUGUAGA